rnacentral:lncRNA from 1 species
GGCCGAGAGAGGCCACCGGCCCUUUGUUGAUCUGCGAGAAAUCAAACUACGAACACGACAAGCAUUAGCCUGCAGCUCGAGGAGACAAGGAAUAAAUCCAACUUGAUCAUAACAUCCAACUGUGUUGCCCAGGCUAGUCUCAAACUCCUGGAUUCAAGAGCCCCUCUCCUCUCAGCCUACGAAAGUGCUGGGAUUAAAGUCCUGAACUGACAGCCACAAGUGGCACCUGAACAGGGACUUGAACAAAGAAGGUCUGCUGGAGCAGAAAAAGUGAAACUGACCAGAUGAAUGAGAAACCCUGGGAUGAGUCUGCCUGCAGAGGAUAUAAGGAGAUGGAUAAACCGUGUGAGUGCCCUCAAGUUGUGUGCGACCAUGGAAUGGGAGACUGGAGGGAUACAUGGAUCCCAACUACAGGCCCAGCUCCUCCAGUAUGAGCCAUGAGCCAGUUGAAUCUGAAUGUGAAGAUGGAAUGAAGACCGACGAGAGUCACACUGACGUCAACCCUCAUAACAUGGGUCUGUAAAAUCAACUGGAACACCAACCAGCAAUUGAGAGCUGAACAGCCUGCAAUUACCUUUAUUCAAUUAAAUCAAAAGCAGAAAGGGGGAGAUGUUGGAGGCUGAAAGAAUGAGGGUCAUGACCAACUCAGUAUACCACUGGAGGCUAUGUGAGCAAACAGCAAACUGUUCUCAUGAAUACAGGAUAUUGGCAAGCUGACAGCUGCAUCUGCCACCAGAAGGAAUGCUGAGGACAGUCAUGCAUCAGGCACAGUGUUCCUUGUAGUUAUCUAUAGGAACAUCUGGACCCUGUUGUAUAAAGAAAGCAAUUAUUUGAGCCUGUGAUAAAUCAAGCAGCUGACUAAAACUGUUACCUCUUCCUCCCUGUUGAUUCUACCUAAUACAUGUGAAGGGCUGUAUAAGCUCAGGGCCCUUGUUCCCUAGAAGCAAGGAGCCCCCUGACCCCUUCUUUACAACAAAUCUUUUUGUUUUUGUCUUCAUUUCUGCAUUCAUCCUCCUUCGUUCAGUCCCGAACCGACAGCCACAUGAUCUGGCAAUCCCAUUUCUGGAUAUCUAUAUAAAUGUUCAAAGCAGGACCUGAAAGAAACAUUUCACACCCCUGUUUAUAAGAGAUUUAUUCUAAAAAUCCAAAAGGUAGAAGCUACUUGAAUGUCCCUUGACAGAUAAAUAA